ACCAGGCAAGAAAUAUUGU
rnacentral:miRNA from 1 species